AACGAACGCUGGCGGCAUGCCUAACACAUGCAAGUCGAACGAUCCCUUCGGGGAUAGUGGCGCACGGGUGCGUAACGCGUGGGAACCUGCCCUUAGGUUCGGAAUGACUCAGAGAAAUUUGAGCUAAUACCGGAUAAUGUCUUCGGACCAAAGAUUUAUCGCCUUUGGAUGGGCCCGCGUUGGAUUAGCUAGUUGGUGGGGUAAAGGCCUACCAAGGCGACGAUCCAUAGCUGGUCUGAGAGGAUGAUCAGCCACACUGGGACUGAGACACGGCCCAGACUCCUACGGGAGGCAGCAGUGGGGAAUAUUGGACAAUGGGCGAAAGCCUGAUCCAGCAAUGCCGCGUGAGUGAUGAAGGCCUUAGGGUUGUAAAGCUCUUUUACCCGGGAUGAUAAUGACAGUACCGGGAGAAUAAGCCCCGGCUAACUCCGUG
rnacentral:rRNA from 1 species